rnacentral:piRNA from 1 species
UUUCUUACAUUUACGUAAGUUGUGCUGGA